rnacentral:rRNA from 1 species
GACGAACGCUGGCGGCGUGCUUAACACAUGCAAGUCGAACGGUGAAGGGACCGGUUUUUGCUGGUUCUGGAUGAGUGGCGAACGGGUGAGUAACACGUGAGUAACCUGCCCCCUUCUUCUGGAUAACCGCAUGAAAGUGUGGCUAAUACGGGAUAUUCUGCGCCUGCUGCAUGGUGGGUGUGGGAAAGAUAUUGUUUCGGUGGGGGAUGGGCUCGCGGCCUAUCAGCUUGUUGGUGGGGUGAUGGCCUACCAAGGCGGUGACGGGUAGCCGGCCUGAGAGGGCGGACGGUCACACUGGGACUGAGACACGGCCCAGACUCCUACGGGAGGCAGCAGUGGGGAAUAUUGCACAAUGGGCGCAAGCCUGAUGCAGCGACGCCGCGUGAGGGAUGGAGGCCUUCGGGUUGUAAACCUCUUUCGCCAGUGAAGCAGGCCUGUCCCUUUUGUGGGUGGGUUGACGGUAGCUGGAGAAGAAGCGCCGGCUAACUACGUG